GCAGUAGCCGCGGGAAUACAGAGGGUGCGAGCGUUAAUCGGAUUUACUGGGCGUAAAGCGUGCGUAGGCGGCUAAUUGAGUCGGAUGUGAAAUCCCCGAGCUUAACUUGGGAAUUGCAUUCGAUACUGGUUAGCUAGAGUGUGGGAGAGGAUGGUAGAAUUCCAGGUGUAGCGGUGAAAUGCGUAGAGAUCUGGAGGAAUACCGAUGGCGAAGGCAGCCAUCUGGCCUAACACUGACGCUGAGGUACGAAAGCAUGGGGAGCAAACAGGAUUAGAUACCCCUGUAGUCCCUGUCUCUUAUAC
rnacentral:rRNA from 1 species